rnacentral:sRNA from 1 species
CCCUCUGCGACAGUUUCCCGAGGUACCUAGUGUCUGAGCGGCACAGACGAGAUCUCGAUCGAAGGCGAGAUGGCGGACGUGCUAGAUCUUCACGAGGCUGGGGGCGAAGAUUUCGCCAUGGAUGAGGAUGGGGACGAGAGCAUUCACAAACUGAAAGAAAAAGCGAAGAAACGGAAGGGUCGCGGCUUUGGCUCCGGUGAGUGUGGGGAAAAUGGGGUAGAGUGGCCCUAGUAGGGCAGGAGCUACGGGUUUUGGAGUCCCCACCCAACUCAUAGGAACAAUGGGAGAAAGGGGGAAUUUUCGGUGAUCUCGUGUAUGUCCCUUAUAGAAGAGGGGUCCCGAGCGCGGAUGCGUGAGGAUUAUGACAGCGUGGAGCAGGAUGGCGAUGAACCCGGACCACAACGCUCUGUUGAAGGCUGGAUUCUCUUUGUAACUGGAGUCCAUGAGGAAGCCACUGAAGAAGACAUACACGACAAAUUCGCAGAAUAUGGGGAAAUUAAAAACAUUCACCUCAACCUCGACAGGCGAACGGGAUAUCUGAAG